UUGCUUGAUACACUAGCUAAUGUCUCAUUCUGGUGGAGGGAGGAACUCUGAGUCUGGGGGUUGCCAAGAUUUCAGAGACUUGGGACUCUGUAGUCGAGACUUAAGGAGUCCAGCCAGCAAGGAUCUGGCAGAGUGAGAUGCUUGGGCCUCAGCUCUCUUCCCACAGUUCAUCUGCAAGGCUGAGUCCAUUGCUAGAGGUAUUGAUUGCUUUGCCAAGAGGAGAGGAUAGGAGUAUGAGAAUUCAGAAAGGAAAUAUUUGAUUGUCUUCACUGCAGGAAACAUUUUCCCCAAGCAAAAUAGGACCUGGAUUUAACAAGGUGCUUGCAAAUGCCUCAAAAGACCUCACAAGAAAAUUGAAACCUUGUGUCAGAUAUAACCUGCUCUGGAACUCCAAAGUGAACAGACAAUUUUGUUGCAAGAAUGUUUUUGUCCUCUCCACUACUGCAGCUGGAGUGAUGUUGAAUAACCUGGAAAACUUAGCAAAUCCUGAGAAACAAUCAAUCAUUUUUGAUAGGUCAUAUUCUCCAGCUAGAAAAGAUCUGUCCUGACUUUCCACCAUGCUCUGGCCAAUUCAGCAGAUGAUAAUUACUAUUCCACCCGGCUGGUUCUCACACAAGCACAAAUAUUGUAUUUCUCAGCUCUCCGUCAUAGGUGUUUGUUCAGGCAGGUCUCCAAAUCUGGGUUAGGUCUCCUGCCAUGUUCUCUAACACCCUUGUAUUUCUAAUCCUGCCAGUCCAGGCCAUUCUGUGGACUCCUGUGGCUUUGAUGAAGAGAUGAAGUUUCCAAACUUUGCUGCCUCAGUCCAGCCCUCCUGGAGUGACUCACUAGUUUAGUUUCCUCUUUAAUGUUAGACCUGUGCAGUAUUGCAGCUGCUCUGUGUGGCUUGGAAAUUAUUUUGACAGAGUCUGGAAUAAAGGCAAGAAGGUUUCA